rnacentral:rRNA from 1 species
UACGGGGGGAGCAAGCGUUGUUCGGAUUUACUAGGCGUAAAGGGCGCGUAGGCGGUCAGCACAAGUCAGUUGUGAAAUCUCCGGGCUUAACUCGGAAAGGUCAACUGAUACUGUGCGACUAGAGUGCAGAAGGGGCAACUGGAAUUCUCGGUGUAGCGGUGAAAUGCGUAGAUAUCGAGAGGAACACCUGCGGCGAAGGCGGGUUGCUGGGCUGACACUGACGCUGAUGCGCGAAAGCGUGGGGAGCAAACAGG